CUUUGGCGACGAUUGAGGGCGGGAUGGCCGUGGUUCGGUCGCUCCAAAGUGAGACUCCCCCGACCUUGGAGGCCGAAGAGGCCCGACUGUCCGGCUGCAAGGGAGAUAUGGCGGCCGAGGAUGGCGAUUUCGAUCUCAUCCUGGCCGACCUAAAAUCCGCUUGCUUCCUUCCGACGUGUCCAGAAGACCCAGAGGGGAAAGAUCCGAUGGUCGGAGAGAACGGAAGCGACGUGGCUCCAGGCUCGGACGAGGCGGCGGGUGAAGAGGGAGCGUAAGUUCUGAGGGUGACUUGGGUUAGAUCUCUUGCGAGAGAUUUGUUUUUUUUUU
rnacentral:lncRNA from 1 species